GUCUCACUCCCAACAGUCUGACUCAGUUGGGAACCUGCACCUGAGACCUUUCAACAUAUCCUAUCCACUGGACACAGCUAGAGAGUCCAGAAAAAGGCCCUCGUGGAAACCUGCUAUUGUCUCCAGGGGGAUCUCCAUAACAGCUCCUUCCUGAUGUAGAAGUUGGCUCAGCCGUAUUGAUCACACGGCAGCUGUGCUGUCCACGAGGAGGAUGGCUGACAUGGUCCAAAGUCGAAGAGCGCUUAACAGCUAAUACAUCGAGCGAUCCUCAGAGUAACCUUACGAGGUGGGCACUGUAAUGAAACUCAUCUUGUAGACACAAAGCCUCGGCACAAGGUUGUGUAGUGUGGUUCCCGGUUGGCUCAGAUUUCACAGAAGCCAGAUUUGGUGCUCCUGAGUUGCUGGCACUUGGGCUCCAGGGUCUCUGCUGCCGCCAGGUGAGGAGAGGAUUCAGGUCCCCCUCCUCUAAAAAUCUAUAGCUUCUAAUAGCAGCCCCAGAACAAGGCAAUCCAUUAGCAGAUGGUUUUGAGAAACAGAACAUAAGGUCUAUUUAUUACAGAGGGAAGGAAAGAAUGAUCAUUCUGGAACCAGCCCCUCUAUUUCCCACUUAAUGAAAUCUGCGCUGCACUAAUUUAUUAUGUUAUUUGUUUCUGAACUCAUUUCCCUAAGGAAAAGAUACAUGUGUGUGUGCAUGCAGCAAACAUCCUUUGUAGUUCACUGCUGUGGGGCGGUCUGUAUGUCAAAUUGCUCUGAUUGGUCAAUAAAUAAAACACUGGUUGGCCAGUGGCC